GUGUCUAUUCUACCUCAUCACUCACAAACCAAUUGUGUUUCAUAGAUGCUUAUGGUAACAUAAAGUGGUGCCCCUGGUGGGAAAAGCUCCGUUCCUGUGAGGGAAGGGAGAGAAGAGGACAGAGGCAAGCUGCCAAUUGUCAGUGUCCUUCAGUUCGGAGCCACCUCUGCUCCAAGUCUUAAGAGGCUCCCCCGAGGCCAUCACCUGGAGGUGAGCAGCCACCCCAGGCUGGAGCAGGAUCUGCUCCAGAGUCCCAAAAGAUUCAUCUUCUAUGUGACUCAUUGUCCUGUGGAGCCAACCCAUUUUACUGAUGAAGGACAUAAUUGUUAACGGACUUUUACUGAAGUGAGCAUUACCUUUUUUCUUAUGCUCCAUGGACAUCUCAUCAAGGACCCUUGAAGUGAGGUUACCAUUCUUAGCUCCCACAGCGAAGAGAUCUCAGGAGACUGGACACUGAAGAAUCUCAUCUUGUAUAAAGACAGACCAAGGUGCUGACAUCAGGAAAAUAAUAGAAGUUAACGCAGAUAUGGGGCUGCCACUGAGGAGAGAGAAGACUGAAAGAAGCAUAUAGAUAAAAGAUUAUCUGAGUAGGCUGAACCAUCGGUGAAAAGGAGGCCAAGCAUCUCAAAAAUAGGACACGUGAGAGUAUGGAGCCAAUGUGACACUCAGAUUUGACACAUACAGAAGCGUGAAAAACUCUUGUGUGACUGGGAUAGCUCCUCUGCAAUGAGAACAUGCCUGGGAUAAUGUACUGAAAAGAUGUGAGAAAUACAUGAAGCAGAGUCCAGUCAUCCCAGCCAAGAACCAGCUGUGAAUGUAACCGCAUGACUUUGAGGCAAGUCCAGACCAAGAACAAAGAACCACUGGUCUUAAAGACAGACCUGCAGAUUCCUGAGCUAAAUAAAAGUUUAUUGUUGAAAGGCACUGAGUUGUUUUUG
rnacentral:lncRNA from 1 species